rnacentral:rRNA from 1 species
UCGGGAAUUUUGGGCAAUGGGCGAAAGCCUGACCCAGCAACGCCGCGUGAGGGAUGAAGUAUUUCGGUAUGUAAACCUCGAAAGAAUGGGAAGAAUAAAUGACGGUACCAUUUAUAAGCUCCGGCUAACUACGUGCCAGCAGCCGCGGUAAUACGUAGGGAGCAAGCGUUGUUCGGAUUUACUGGGCGUAAAGGGCGCGUAGGCGGCGCGGUAAGUCACUUGUGAAAUCUCUGAGCUUAACUCAGAACGGCCAAGUGAUACUGCUGUGCUAGAGUGCGGAAGAGGCAACCGGAAUUCUUGGUGUAGCGGUGAAAUACGUAGAUAUCAAGAGGAACACCUGAGGCGAAGGCGGGUUGCUGGGCCGACACUGACGCUGAUGCGCGAAAGCCAGGGGAGCAAACG